AACGAACGCUGGCGGCAGGCCUAACACAUGCAAGUCGAACGAUAAGCCACCUUCGGGUGGUGGACAGUGGCAGACGGGUGAGUAACGCGUGGGAACGUGCCUUUCGGUUCGGGAUAACCCAGGGAAACUUGGGCUAAUACCGGAUACGCCCUCCGGGGGAAAGAUUCAUUGCCGAAAGAUCGGCCCGCGUCGGAUUAGCUAGUUGGUGGGGUAAAAGCCUACCAAGGAGAAGAUCCGUAGCUGGUCUGAGAGGAUGACCAGCCAAACUGGGACUGAGACCCGACCCAGACUCCUACGGGAGGCAGCAGGGGGGAAUAUUGGACGAUGGGCGCAAGCCUGAUCCAGCCAUGCCGCGUGGGUGAAGAAGGCCCUAGGGUUGUAAACCCCUUUCAGCGGGGAAGAUAAUGACGGUACCCGCAGAAGAAGCCCCGGCUAACUCCGUGCCAGCCGCCGCCGUAAGAC
rnacentral:rRNA from 1 species